CAGCUGUGAAGGGCGCUAUGGCAGCAUCAGAGCUCGGUGACCUCCUCCCUUAAUGUCACAGUGAAGCCAGCACUCUGCUCUCCAGGGAAAGCAGUGAGCCCUCCAUGAGCCAGUUCAGUGCAGCUGAGCAUAUGGACAGGAGCUCGCUGUUGCCGGAGAUGGAGAAUAACAGGCCCGGACACAGGGUGCCCCCAGGAUGAUGGAGCACCCUCCACAUGCUGUCAUGGCGGGCACAAGGGAGCCCCCUGUUCUGCUUUCUCCAAGCCCUCCAUGAUGCCUGAACAGCCCCCCGUGGAAGUGAGUCUCUUUGGAAAUUACAUUUCAUAACAGUAACAACCACGGCAGCUCUCACCUCUCGAGCACUCACCUGGGCAGACACAGGGCUCUGCACUUCGCCUGCAGUGUCUCAGUUAACACUCUGCGGGGGGCCCUCUGGUUAGCUGCAUUGUACAGAUGAACAAACCAAGGCUCAGCAAGGAUGGGUAACUUGCCAGGACCACAGAGCCAGUUGAGAGCAGACCACACUCUGCACUCCCCAGCCCUGGGACUCAGGAGACCCUCGGGCAUUUCAUCUCUAAAACGUAAGGGGUCAUAUCUGUUCUUGGGAGACCAGGAUAAUUUUUUUAAAGAUAAUGGAUAAUAACAGCUAAUAUUUAUUGUGCUCAUUCUAUGCACCAAGCCCUGUACUGGGAGCUUUAUUUGCACCAACUCAUUUAAUCCCCACAACAGCCCUAUGAGGAGGGAGUACCGUCCUAAUCCCCAUUGUAAAGAUGAGGAAACUGAGGCACAGAGAGACUGAAUAACCUGCCCAAAGUCACACAGUAACUAGCAAGUAGCAGAGUUGACUACAGGUCUGGAAUCUGCCCUAACCACCAUGCUACAAUGGUGCCUCUCAGUGGAGAUUGCAUGACACAGGACUCCCAUGGACAGAAGUGACAGAGACCCAAACAGGCAAGCUCAAGCAUAAAAGGAAAUACCUUGGUUCAUGAAAUGGAAAAGUUCAGGCACAGCUGGCUCCAGGUGCUCAACCGAUGUGUGGCAUCCACCUCCUUCAUCUCUCACUCUGCUUUCUCCUAGGCAGGCUCUGUUCUAAGCAGACUCUCUCCAACAGGUGACAAAGACGGUCCCAGGACUUCAGGCUUAGGCUCUACCCAUCUGGCAACCACCACAGAGCAAGUGACUCCUUCCAGCAAAACUUCCAAGGUUGGGUCUCACUGGUUGAGCUUGAGCCACAUCCCCAUUCCUGAGCCAGUCUCUAUGAUUCAAGGGGGGCCUACAAUUGAGAGUGGGGGGCUUCCCCAAAGGAAAAUUGAGGGGCUAUUCCCAAAGGAUGGAUAAUAGCUGCUGGGCUGGCGGAAACAUCAGCCAUGCCUCCGACAUGGAAGUACUUAGAAUUCUGCCAGACAGGGUCAGACAGGGUCAUUAUUACUGUAGGAGACCACAGUGUGCAUGGCAUUUGGACAAACCCAGGCUGAGAGACCUGCUUCCACAGAGGGGUUGGCAAGACGUCACAGUUUGGUCCAACAUCACCAUACACUUCCUUGGUCUCAGAAGGAGCGAGAAAGGAGCGUGGGUCUGCGACCCUGGGGUCUGCAUUCCUCCCCUCGUUCUGGCAUUCCCUGGCCAUGUGGCCUUGGGAAAGUGACCUAACCAUACUCAGACUUGAUUUUCUCAUCUGGAAAAUGGGAACCAGAAAACCUCUCUUGUAGGGUUGCUGUCAGGAUUGAAAGAGAAGAGGAUCCAGGUGCCUGGAACCAUCCUGGCACACAUCAGGGGCUCAAAGGAUGAUUUUUAAAAGCCCACCUGCCAGCAGGCGCCUGCACUCCUGAAAAGCCCUUUGGGCAUCUGAACUGAGGACCAGAGGACCUUCAGGAAAGCAAUUCCCCUUUGCCUUAGCUGUUGGCGGACUUUACAAAAAGAAGUUAAAUAAAGCCAAUGCUGUGACUCUCUUAGCUCUUUUCCAAGCCCCUUGACUCAGCAGUGGUGAAAACAUGAGGAGAACCAGUCCCACCAAGCCAAUCAAUGGCAAAGACUAGCUCCGAGGUCCCCAGGGCCCAGUGCUCCGGCAUUGAGGCUGCUGCCCUAAGAGGUCGGGAGACAGGAGAAGAGCAGGAAAGAGAAAGCUGCUCGCCCACUGCCACGACCAGUGGAAGCGCUCGUCCAGCUCUGCAGUCAGUGCUCUGUCUUGCUUGGCUGGGAGUUCCCAGGAGCAGGGGAAGCACUUUGUCACUAUGAAAUGCCACAAAAGUGGUUCUCAAAGAGGGCAUCACAGGACCCGCAGCCCUUGGGGAACUAACAGGUGUGCAGUGCAUUCUGGGUGAUUUGAAUUCUGGAGAAAAUCUGGCAUCAAAAUGUUAGGAAAGCCUCCUGUGGUGCAAAAUUUAAAAUAAUGCAAAUCUCCCUUUUCACAUGUUCAAAAUGUGUCAAGAAUUGCAUAACUGCAAACGAACGAGGUGUCAGUGGAGCUUUCUGUGCUGCCCAUGUCAGCACCACCACAGCUAGUGAAUAAUCGUACCCUGCCCUUUAUCCAUGCUGCGAGAAAUAGGUCUUGAAUUAUUCACUUUGUGCACAAUACAGUAGCUUAAAGAAUGGAUCCUGUGCAUGAAACAACCACCCUGACUUGAGAACAAGUGGCUGUGCUCAGACAUGCUCCCUGCACAUCACUGGCACUCCAUACCUUAUUGGGGGGUGGGCAGAGGGGAGAGGAGUGGUGGGGAGGGAAGAAGGGAGAUGAUGGUUUAAAUCAGGGGUCAGCUCAUAGGCUGAAUCCUUCCAGCACUGCUGCCCACCUGGGGCCUCAGCCCUGCUUCUCCCGGCCCUGGGGCACUGAGCUGUCGAAGACCAGCAAGAGGACACAGCUGCUCCUUCCUCCGGCCUCAGACCUCAAGCACAUCCGGCCACUCACUGCCACGCACGCCACCCCCUGCUGCAACCGCUGCCAGUGUCCAGCCAUCUAUGGCCCAGCUCCGGGCCGGGACAGCAUUGCAGGAGUGCCAACUUGCAUUGGACAAGGGAUCAGGAAACCCCCUUCUCUGCCCUGGAGGGCUCAUCAGCCGAGCUGAGAGGAAUCAUGGAAGGACAGGAGAAGGGCUGUGAAAGAGGGGAAAUCCAAGAAGCCUUCCUGGAGAUGUGGCCCCUGAGAUGGGCCCACCCACAGGGCAUUGACCAGGGUGACUGCAAAGGCAGAAGGCAUUUCAGAGUGAGAGUAGCCUGGCCAGCAUCAGGGAGCAGGCAAGCGCAGAGUGUCUUCAAGGAGCCUUGUAGUCCAUGUCUGCUUAAGAGCAGCCUUUUGCGCUCUGAGAGAGCCUCAGUGGAGCAGCCUGGCUGGGGCCGAGUGGCAGCUAGGGGUCCUGAAUGGCAAGAGAAGAACCUCCUGGCAACGAGGCUGUUGGAAACUCCAAGAUGGGCAGCAGUGUGAUCCGGACCGGCGCUCACAUGAAACCUCACUGUUCAACCCACAGGUGCAGAGAGUGUAAAUGAAUGUGACAGCCUAACGGUGUCAGCUGCUGUUUGUGCACACAGUGUGCCAGCCAUGUGCAAAACACUGUAUGGGCACGAUUUCAUUUUAUCCUCACAAAACCCUUAUGAGAUGGGGACGACAAUUAACCCUGCUUUCCUAAAGAAGAUGAGGUUCAGAGAGGUUAAGAAACUUACCCAAGGCCACUCAGCCAGCAAGUGGCAGGGACAGGGGUUUGAAUCCAGGCCCUUGACUACUCUUUCUUAACCUCUUCCUGUGGCAGAAAGAAGAUACCCAGCACAUGGGCUGUAAACUGUUCUCUAAUGCCGAAUCAUUUCCUCCAGAUGGCCUCCACCACACUGUGUUAGAGCACCGGGUAGGCCCAGCUGUCCCUGGCUGUGGUGGUCUUCCCAGCAGUGCUCCUCAGCAGGGCUGGGCCUCCAGGGAGGCACCAGUGUCAGCCUGUCUCAGUCCCCGUGGCCUGGCCCAGAGCCUAGCUCAUAGUAGGCAUUCAGCAAAUAACUGUGGGCUGAACAAAUGGUUGCACUGCUGUUUGUAAGUGACUGAAACACAGCCCACGGCGGCCAGCUUUCCUCUUUAAUCCCUGUUAAAAGGCAAAGUGAAGCUCUCCGAAUAUCUGCAUGAUCAUGAGCGAUCUUGAAGGUGAAACACGUUCCCCCAGAUUACCCACCGUGUCUGGUUUCAAAGGACUUAUAUUCUUGUAGACUUUGGCUUCAAGAUGGAACAUGUCAAAUUCUGACAGUCAGAACGAGAGCAGCUCCUGAGAUGUUCAAAAAAGGCAGCAGCCAGCCCGUGACAGCCCUCCCAGCCCCCCAGGGAAGAGGCGGGGUAGGAGAAGCGGAGUCUUCAUCUGGGUCGGCAGAAAUGAGUGGUGGCAUCAGCUGCUCGGGCUGCCCCAUGACCCACUCAUUCUUUCCCCUAACCCAGGAACUGAUGCCAUAAAUCUCAGGAUUACUGAUGGCUCCACUCCUCCAGGUAUGGGCUUCUUGCCCGGGGACUAAACAUCUUAUUCAAGAUGAUCUAACUACGUUUGUUGAGAAACAGACAGACAGAAACAGAAAAAGAAGAACAGAGGGCACACGCCACAAAUUGAAGGUUGUCCCUGGAGCAUGGGCUCAUGCGUGAUGUUGGUUUCAGAAAGCAAAAGAUCAGGUGUGGCCAGCGACUUGCAGCUGCCCCCCCUGAAUGGGGCCAUUCAGUCCAGCUGUGGUGGCGUGGGCGGGGACAGGAAGGUGGUUGAGAAACAGGGAUGAGAAAGUUUGCUGGGGCCCCGGCCUUCAGGGCCUGGGAGAGGCCUGGAGGGUGGAGGUGGACAGGAGGCAAGGGAGGUGUCCCCUUGCUAAUCUGGCAGGAAGUGGGCAUCUGUGACCUGGCUGCCACCUCCCCUCGGUGCCCACCUGUGCCCACCACCCACUGCGCUGGUGGCACCUGCCUGUCUCCCCCUAGCCUGCAGGCACCUCUGGGCAGGAACUGUGUCUGAAUCCUCUCUCUCUCCUAUGCCUGUCCCAGAACCUGCACAGAGGAGCUACUCAGAGAAGGCUGAUGAAUGGAAUAGUCAUUGGUUUGGGAGUGGAAGGAUCUGCCCUCAGAAGGCCCCUGGUACAAAGCCAGAAAACAGAUAUUUUGGUGAGGUUAAAGGUGGGCUCUAUCAUGAGAUGUUUAAAAGCACACACUUCAGAGCAAGAUGGCCUGGAUUCAAGUUCUAGUUCCACCAUUUCCUGGCUGUGUGACCUUGAGGAAGUCACUUAACCUCUCUGAACCUCAACUUCCUGAUGUGUAAAAUUGGAAAAAUAAUAAAACCCACUUCAUAACGUU